ACAUGCAAGUCGAACGCAGUAGCAAUACUGAGUGGCGAACGGGUGAGUAUAAUGUGGGUAUCUGCCUUUUGGUAUGGAAUAACACGGGGAAACUUGUGCUAAUACCGUAUAAGCCUUUACAGGGAAAGUUUUAACGCCAAAAGAUGAGCCCGCACUUGAUUAGCUAGUUGGUAAGGUAAUAGCUUACCAAGGCUACGAUCAAUAGCUGAUCUGAGAGGAUGAUCAGCCACAUUGGGACUGAGACACGGCCCAAACUCCUACGGGGGGCAGCAGUGGGGAAUCUUGCACAAUGGGGGAAACCCUGAUGCAGCGAUGCCGCGUGAGUGAAGAAGGCCUUUGGGUUGUAAAGCUCUUUCGUCGGGGAAGAAAAUGACUGUACCCGAAUAAGAAGGUCCGGCUAACUUCGUGCCAGCAGCCGCGGUAAUACGAAGGGACCUAGCGUAGUUCGGAAUUACUGGGCUUAAAGAGUUCGUAGGUGGUUAAGAAAGUUGGUGGUGAAAUCCCAAGGCUCAACCUUGGAACUGCCACCAAAACUUUUUGACUAGAGUAUGAUAGAGGUAAGUGGAAUUUCUAGUGUAGAGGUGAAAUUCGUAGAUAUUAGAAAGAACACCAAUUGCGAAGGCAACUUUCUGGAUCAUUACUGACACUGAGGAGCGAAAGCAUGGGUAGCGAAGAGGAUUAGAUACCCUCGUAGUCCAUGCUGUAAACGAUGUGUGCUAGACGUUGGAAACUUAGUUUUCAGUGUCGCAGCAAAAGCAUUAAGCACACCGCCUGGGGAGUACGA
rnacentral:rRNA from 1 species